rnacentral:rRNA from 1 species
GAUGAACGCUGGCGGCGUGCCUAAUACAUGCAAGUCGAGCGAACGGACGAGAAGCUUGCUUCUCUGAUGUUAGCGGCGGACGGGUGAGUAACACGUGGAUAACCUACCUAUAAGACUGGGAUAACUUCGGGAAACCGGAGCUAAUACCGGAUAAUAUUUUGAACCGCAUGGUUCAAAAGUGAAAGACGGUCUUGCUGUCACUUAUAGAUGGAUCCGCGCUGCAUUAGCUAGUUGGUAAGGUAACGGCUUACCAAGGCAACGAUGCAUAGCCGACCUGAGAGGGUGAUCGGCCACACUGGAACUGAGACACGGUCCAGACUCCUACGGGAGGCAGCAGUAGGGAAUCUUCCGCAAUGGGCGAAAGCCUAACGGAGCAACGCCGCGUGAGUGAUGAAGGUCUUCGGAUCGUAAAACUCUGUUAUUAGGGAAGAACAUAUGUGUAAGUAACUGUGCACAUCUUGACGGUACCUAAUCAGAAAGCCACGGCCAACUACGUG